AUUGAACGCUGGCGGCAUGCCUAACACAUGCAAGUCGAACGGUAGCAUGACUUAGCUUGCUAAGUUGAUGACGAGUGGCGAACGGGUGAGUAACGCGUAGGAAUAUGCCUUGAAGUGGGGGACAACUUGGGGAAACUCAAGCUAAUACCGCAUAAUGUCUAAGGACAAAAGCUGGGGACCUUCGGGCCUGGCGCUUUAAGAUUAGCCUGCGUACGAUUAGCUAGUUGGUGGGGUAAGGGCCUACCAAGGCGACGAUCGUUAGCUGGUCUGGGAGGAUGGCCAGCCACACUGGAACUGAGACACGGUCCAGACUCCUACGGGAGGCAGCAGUGGGGAAUAUUGGACAAUGGGGGCAACCCUGAUCCAGCAAUGCCGCGUGUGUGAAGAAGGCCUGAGGGUUGUAAAGCACUUUCAGUGGGGAGGAGGAUUGAUAGGUUAAGAGCUGAUUGAUUGGACGUUACCCACAGAAGAAGCACCGGCUAACUCCGUGCCAGCCGCCGCCGUAA
rnacentral:rRNA from 1 species